CAUGCAAGUCGAGCGGUAACAGACAUAAAGAUUCAGCUUGCUGAAUCCGGUGCUGACGAGCGGCGAACGGGUGAGUAACGCGUAGGAAUCUACCCAGUAGCGGGGGAUAGCCCGAGGAAACUCGGAUUAAUACCGCAUACGCCCUGAGGGGGAAAGGGGGCAGUUUACUGCUCUCACUAUUGGAUGAGCCUGCGUAAGAUUAGCUUGUUGGUGGGGUAAUGGCCUACCAAGGCGACGAUCUUUAGCUGGUCUGAGAGGACGAUCAGCCACAUUGGGACUGAGACACGGCCCAGACAUCUACGGAUGGCAGCAGUUAAGAAUAUUGGACAAUGGGGGCAACCCUGAUCCAGGUAUACCGCGUGUGUGAAGAAGGCCCUAGGGUUGUAAAGCACUUUAAUCAGAGAAGAAGCAUUUUAAGUUAAUACCUUAAUAUGUUGACGUUACCUGAAGAAUAAGGACCGGCUAACUCCGUGCCAGCAGCCGCGGUAAUA
rnacentral:rRNA from 1 species